rnacentral:rRNA from 1 species
GACAGAGGUGCCGAGCGUUAGGCGGAAUCACUGGGCUUAAAGGGUGCGUAGGCGGCGCGACAAGUUGGGUGUGAAAUCCCUCGGCUCAACCGAGGAACUGCGCCCAAAACUGUCGUGCUCGAGGGAGACAGAGGUGAGCGGAACUUAGGGUGGAGCGGUGAAAUGCGUUGAUAUCCUAAGGAACACCGGUGGCGAAAGCGGCUCACUGGGUCUCUUCUGACGCUGAGGCACGAAAGCUAGGGUAGCGAACGGG